rnacentral:rRNA from 1 species
GACGAACGCUGGCGGCGUGCCUAAUACAUGCAAGUCGAACGAGUGGCGGACGGGUGAGUAAUGUCUGGGAAAAUGCCUGAUGGAGGGGGAUAACUACUGGAAACGGUAGCUAAUACCGCAUCCCAUCAGCUGUGCACCGAUGGGAUUAGCGAGUGGGUGGGGUAACGGCCCACCAAGGCGACGAUCCCUAGCUGGUCUGAGGGGAUGACCAGCCACACUGGAACUGAGACACGGUCCAGACUCCUACGGGAGGCAGCAGUGGGGAAAAUGGCACAAUGGGCGGAAGCCUGAUUCUGCCGUGCCGCGUGUAUGAAGAAGGCCUUCGGGUUGUAAAGUACUUUCAGCGGGGAGGCGGUACCCGCAGAAGAAUCACCGGCUAACUCCGUGCCAGCAGCCGCGGUAAUUC